rnacentral:rRNA from 1 species
GACGAACGCUGGCGGCGUGCCUAAUACAUGCAAGUCGAGCGGAACUGGGGGAGCUUGCUCCUUCCAGUUUAGCGGCGGACGGGUGAGUAACACGUGGGCAACCUGCCCUGCAGAUCGGGAUAACUCCGGGAAACCGGUGCUAAUACCGAAUAGUUUGGCGCCUCUCCUGAGGCGCUACGGAAAGACGGUUUCGGCUGUCACUGCAGGAUGGGCCCGCGGCGCAUUAGCUAGUUGGUGGGGUAACGGCCCACCAAGGCGACGAUGCGUAGCCGACCUGAGAGGGUGCCCGGCCACACUGGGACUGAGACACGGCCCAGACUCCUACGGGAGGCAGCAGUUGGGAAUCUUCCGCAAUGGACGCAAGUCUGACGGAGCAACGCCGCGUGAGUGACGAAGGUUUUCGGAUCGUAAAACUCUGUUGUGAGGGAAGAACACGUACCAACUAACUAUUGGUACCUUGACGGUACCUCACCAGAAAGCCACGGCUAACUACGUGCCAGCCGCCGCCGUAA